AAUCAACGCUGGCGGCGUGCCUCAGACAUGCAAGUCGAACGCGAAAGUUCCCUUCGGGGGGCGAGUAGAGUGGCGCACGGGUGAGUAACACGUAGGUAAUCUACCUUUGGGUGGGGAAUAACAGCCGGAAACGGCUGCUAAUACCGCAUAAUGCAGCGGCUCGACAUCGAGACAGUUGUUAAAGCGGGGGAUCGCAAGACCUCGCGCCUAAAGAGGAGCCUGCGGCGGAUUAGCUUGUUGGUGAGGUAAUGGCUCACCAAGGCAUCGAUCCGUAGCCGGCCUGAGAGGGCGGUCGGCCACACUGACACUGACAUACGGGUCAGACUCCUACGGGAGGCAGCAGUCGGGAAUUUU
rnacentral:rRNA from 1 species